UCUUGGCCAGCCUUCUGAAAGGAAGAUUAAUACAAGAUGGCAUCAUGAGUCCGCAUGUUCACAUGAUUAAAGGUAUUCCGGUAGACGAUGGGGAUGCGUUCCAUUAGAUAGUAGGCGGGGUAACGGCCCACCUAGUCUUCGAUGGAUAGGGGUUCUGAGAGGAAGGUCCCCCACAUUGGAACUGAGACACGGUCCAAACUCCUACGGGAGGCAGCAGUGAGGAAUAUUGGUCAAUGGGCGAGAGCCUGAACCAGCCAAGUAGCGUGAAGGAUGACUGCCCUAUGGGUUGUAAACUUCUUUUAUAAAGGAAUAAAGUCGGGUAUGGAUACCCGUUUGCAUGUACUUUAUGAAUAAGGAUCGGCUAACUCCGUGCCAGCAGCCGCGGUAAUACGGAGGAUCCGAGCGUUAUCCGGAUUUAUUGGGUUUAAAGGGAGCGUAGAUGGAUGUUUAAGUCAGUUGUGAAAGUUUGCGGCUCAACCGUAAAAUUGCAGUUGAUACUGGAUAUCUUGAGUGCAGUUGAGGCAGGCGGAAUUCGUGGUGUAGCGGUGAAAUGCUUAGAUAUCACGAAGAACUCCGAUUGCGAAGGCAGCCUGCUAAGCUGCAACUGACAUUGAGGCUCGAAAGUGUGGGUAUCAAACAGGAUUAGAUACCCUGGUAGUCCACACGGUAAACGAUGAAUACUCGCUGUUUGCGAUAUACGGCAAGCGGCCAAGCGAAAGCGUUAAGUAUUCCACCUGGGGAGUACGCCGGCAACGGUGAAACUCAAAGGAAUUGACGGGGGCCCGCACAAGCGGAGGAACAUGUGGUUUAAUUCGAUGAUACGCGAGGAACCUUACCCGGGCUUAAAUUGCAGAUGAAUUACGGUGAAAGCCGUAAGCCGCAAGGCAUCUGUGAAGGUGCUGCAUGGUUGUCGUCAGCUCGUGCCGUGAGGUGUCGGCUUAAGUGCCAUAACGAGCGCAACCCUUGUUGUCAGUUACUAACANGUUCUGCUGAGGACUCUGACAAGACUGCCAUCGUAAGA
rnacentral:rRNA from 1 species